rnacentral:rRNA from 1 species
UACGUAGGGCGCAAGCGUUGUCCGGAAUUAUUGGGCGUAAAGAGCUCGUAGGCGGCUUGUCACGUCGAUUGUGAAAGCCCGAGGCUUAACCUCGGGUCUGCAGUCGAUACGGGCUAGCUAGAGUGUGGUAGGGGAGAUCGGAAUUCCUGGUGUAGCGGUGAAAUGCGCAGAUAUCAGGAGGAACACCGGUGGCGAAGGCGGAUCUCUGGGCCGAUACUGACACUGAGGAGCGAAAGCGUGGGGAGCGAACAGG